rnacentral:rRNA from 1 species
UACGUAGGGUGCAAGCGUUGUCCGGAAUUAUUGGGCGUAAAGAGCUCGUAGGCGGUUUGUCGCGUCUGCUGUGAAAACUGGAGGCUCAACCUCCAGCCUGCAGUGGGUACGGGCAAACUAGAGUGCGGUAGGGGAGAUUGGAAUUCCUGGUGUAGCGGUGGAAUGCGCAGAUAUCAGGAGGAACACCGAUGGCGAAGGCAGCUCGCUGGGACGGUACUGACGCUGAGGCGCGAAAGCGUGGGGAGCAAACAGG